AAUCAACGCUGGCGGCGUGCCUCAGACAUGCAAGUCGAACGCGAAAGCUCCCUUCGGGGGGCAAGUAGAGUGGCGCACGGGUGAGUAACACGUAGGUAAUCUACCUUCGGGUGGGGAAUAACAACCGGAAACGGUUGCUAAUACCGCAUAAUGCAGCGGCACCUAAUGGUGACAGUUGUUAAAGCGGGGGAUCGAAAGAUCUCGCGCCUGAAGAGGAGCCUGCGGCGGAUUAGCAGUUGGUAGGGUAACGGCCUACCAAGGCGACGAUCCGUAGCCGGCCUGAGAGGGCGGUCGGCCACACUGACACUGACAUACGGGUCAGACUCCUACGGGAGGCAGCAGUCGGGAAUUUUGGGCAAUGGGCGAAAGCCUGACCCAGCAACGCCGCGU
rnacentral:rRNA from 1 species